AUUGAACGCUGGCGGCAUGCCUUACACAUGCAAGUCGAACGGCAGCACGGGAGCAAUCCUGGUGGCGAGUGGCGAACGGGUGAGUAAUGCAUCGGAACGUGCCCAGUGGUGGGGGAUAGCCCGGCGAAAGCCGGAUUAAUACCGCAUACGACCUGUGGGUGAAAGCGGGGGACCUUUCGGGGCCUCGCGCCAUUGGAGCGGCCGAUGUCAGAUUAGGUAGUUGGUGGGGUAAAGGCCCACCAAGCCGACGAUCUGUAGCUGGUCUGAGAGGACGAACAGCCACACUGGGACUGAGACACGGCCCAGACUCCUACGGGAGGCAGCAGUGGGGAAUUUUGGACAAUGGGCGCAAGCCUGAUCCAGCCAUGCCGCGUGCGGGGAGAAGGCCUUCGGGUUGUAAACCGCUUUUGUCAGGGAAGAAAUCUUCUGGGCUAAUACCCUGGGAGGAUGACGGUACCUGAAGAAUAAGCACCGGCUAACUACGUGCCAGCCGCCGCGGUAA
rnacentral:rRNA from 1 species